UACAGAGGGGGCAAGCGUUGUUCGGAAUUACUGGGCGUAAAGGGCGCGUAGGCGGCCUGUUAAGUCGGACGUGAAAUCCCCGGGCUCAACCCGGGAACUGCGUCCGAUACUGGCAGGCUUGAAUCCGGGAGAGGGAUGCGGAAUUCCAGGUGUAGCGGUGAAAUGCGUAGAUAUCGAGAGGAACACCUGCGGCGAAGGCGGGUAGCUGGGCCGACACUGACGCUGAGGCGCGAAAGCCAGGGGAGCGAACGGG
rnacentral:rRNA from 1 species